AUGGAUGCGCUCAAGGUGCGCUACAACCGCUACGUGCUUCUGGCGACGGCGGUCGAAGAUGGCGAGGAGAAAGUGACGCUAGCAGCUCUGCUGGCGACCUUGGAGCAGCGUUGCAGAAUGCUAGCGUCGGAGGUGGUCAUUGAGGUCGCGUGCCCACCACAUGACUUGUGGCUGACCUUCUCGAUGGAGGAGAAGUGCACCGUGCUCUUGUCCUCGAUGAAGAUCAAGUGUUGCCGAUGCUGGAUGUAGUUUCCAUGCUAGAGCAGAAUGAUUUGUGCUCAGCCGGGGGCUCUGGAGUACAAGAGGAAGCUCAGCUUUGAUGGCCUCCCGAACCAGGCAUGGACGACAACUUUGAUGCAAGAUUAUCUGAAGGAACUUGGUGGCGAGCUGAUCGAGAUCCUGCCGCUGGCAAGCCGCCGCGAGCUCGAGGUAGUGGCUUGGCUUUGUGACCCAUUAUUUGUAGGCAAGGUGGUGAUAGUUGAGAUACCUGAGCCGAAGCUGAUAAACAAGCCACCCGAGUCCAUGGAUGAGUAUGAAGCAAUGCAAUUUGAAUUGGGUAACUACGGACCAUCGUCACCGAGGAAGAAGAAAACGCUACUGUAUCUAGUUUUGCGUCAUAUGAAGGAGGUUGUCGAUCGUGGUCCUUUGCUCGCUGAAGACUUGUCGGCUGAGUGGCUGCCAGCAGAAGGCGAGGACCUGACUCGCAAGCACAUCUUCAAGACUAUGAUGGGCAAGAUUGAUGGCAGUGACGACACUGGAGCAGUUUGA
rnacentral:rRNA from 1 species